UGGUGUCGGCCUAUUUACACAGUGGGUCAUUGUGUCAAAUGUGUCUCACAAAUGACAUAUUUUAGGUCCCAGGGAUCUCGGAGCAUUGGGUUUUGUGAAUAUUACUAUGAUUUCACUUAGAGUUGAAGCGGACAAUUAGUUUCCACUCACAAGUUUCUACAUCCAUGUCGGCGAGAUUAGGCGUGAGAAAGUGUGUGGAUAUGACUGCUGAUUGAAAGAUAAAGGACAGGGAGGAGGUGAUUUAGUGUGUGUGCACGCGUGCCUGUGGAAAAAACCAGCAGGUAUUCACAGCUCCUAGCGUUUUUUCUUCCCGCCUUCUUUUUGUUGUACAGUAUGGUCUCUCGCUGGAAGAGGAACUUCACAAACCCACGGCACACCGACACCUGGACAAUCCCACAACAAAAAAUUCCACUGGCAACAUUUUAGGAUACAGCAGCGUACUUCUAUGCUUCUUCCUCCUUCCAUUGAAUCUUUCAUCUAAGAUGAUCACCCCUCACUUUGGUCCCAGAACAAUAGACAACAUGCUCGCCUGCAGACAGUCUCGUUGCAACAGCCAUGGUACCUGUGUUACUCCUCCGGGGUCUGGUACAACUCUAAUAUGCAACUGUGAUCUGGGCUACAAAGGUGACUCCUGCAUGGACAAGGUCAGUGAGGCAAUAAGCAUACCUUUGACCCUGAGCGUGUUUGUUGCCCUCAUUGGCCUGGUGAUCCUGGCUGUCAUUGCUGCCAAGUUCCGGCGGAGACGGUGGAAGAAGCAAAGGAAACUACUGGAACAAAAUGCCGACGACAACACUCCAUGAUGUGGAUAGCUGUCAAAUAGAUCUAUUUUGAUGUACUUUGGAGUUUGAAUUGUGAUUACUACUGUACAACUUACACUGCAGCAUCCCAGAGAGUCAAACACUAACUUCACAAACUGGAGUCCAAAGGCAUAUAUAUCCAGGCAUUGACUCUGGGAUGUUGCAGUGCAAGAGUUUGAAUGUGCAGUGCAAAUGUCUGUAUUCUAAUCAACAUCUGCUUCCUUGAUCCCUUUUUUGAAUGCUAGAGCAUGCUUCUGUAAGUAUUAUAAACUGACACUUGCUGUAUUUAGUAAAAUAAUGCAAAUGUUCACUCAUCAGUUACUCUCUCCAAAGGAGCUGAAGCUUAGUUUAAGUAAAGCAAAGGGGGUUGCUAUAUUGAUAGUGAAGGCUUCUUACAGCCAUGACAUUCAAGGUGACUUUAGAGAUUUAAACACACAUCAGUUUUGUAUCAGAUAGGGCAGAAGUCGAUUUGGGUUCGGGGAGUGUCCAGUCCCUAUGUCUGAUGUCAUUUCCGGGUCCAAAUACUCCUAAAUAAACAGCAAUGGCAUAACCAAUGACUGUUCACCAUUAAAGAUGAUUGUAACAUACCUUAUCAACUGCAGCCAUUUCCGUUUGACUUUCUCAUCGAUAAAAUGACAGCUUGAGUGAAAAUUAUUUUGAAAGUACCUCUAUGUGUAUAAUGAACAAUGAAUUGAAUGUAUAAUGAAUUAUAGGCCUCAGCUCCAAAGGGUUUCUGGGAUAUGGCCCUCCAAACAUUGGGUGCCAUACCCUAUAUUUGACCUCGUGAAUCAUUGUGGUGUCUGUACUACCAUGCUAAAGUCUGUGUUAAAUGCAUGUAUUGUCUCUUCUUCCUUAAGGGUUCAUGCAAAGGAAAUUUGAUUUCAACAUCCUGCACAAAGAGGCCCCCUUUGCAGGCUCUCUUGCUCCCAUAUAAGGAAUUGUCUAUAUGUCCACUAUAGGUUAGGGGGUUGAAGCUGUUUUCAUAGCCAUAUAUGGAAAGUCAGGAUGUGGGGGUUUGCCAACACUAUGGUGUAUAUAAUCUGUGUGAUCCCUUUGUUUAGUGAGUUAGGAAGAUUGGGCCUCCUCUCCCAGGUGGCAAGAAGCGCCUGUUUUGAUAUUGUCUUU